GUUUAACGGCCGCGGUAUCCUAACCGUGCAAAGGUAGCGCAAUCAAUUGUCCCAUAAAUCGAGACUAGUAUGAAUGGCUAAACGAGGUCUUAACUGUCUCUUGCAGGCAAUCGGUGAAAUUGAUCUCCCUGUGCAAAAGCAGGGAUAAACCCAUAAGACGAGAAGACCCUGUGGAACUUUAAAAACAGCAGCCACCCCAAACAACACAACCCCCCACCGGGCCCACUCACACACAAGCCACUGGCCUGCAUUUUUUCGGUUGGGGCGACCUUGGAGAAAAACAAAUCCUCCAAAAAUUAGACCACACCUCUAAACCAAGAGCAACCCCUCGACGUGCUAACAGCAACCAGACCCAAUAUAAUUGACCAAUGGACCAAGCUACCCCAGGGAUAACAGCGCAAUCUCCUUUAAGAGUCCAUAUCGACAAGGAGGUUUACGACCUCGAUGUUGGAUCAGGACAUCCUAGUGGUGCAGAAGCUACUAAGGGUUCGUUUGUUCAACGAUUAACAGUCCU
rnacentral:rRNA from 2 species